GAGAGUUUGAUUAUGGCUCAGGAUGAACGCUGGCGGCAUGCCUAAUACAUGCAAGUCGAACGGAGUCUUUUAGACUUAGUGGCGAACGGGUGAGUAAUACAUAGGUACUUGUCUUUGAGUUUUGGAUAACGGUUAGAAAUGACCGCUAAUACGGAAUUAAAUAGCAAUAUUAAAAGGUCCCCUUAAAGGACCGCUUAUUGAGAGGCCUAUGGCGCAUUAGCUAGUUGGUGAGAUAAAAGCCCACCAAGGCUAUGAUGCGUAGCUGUGCUGAGAGGCAGAACAGCCACACUGGGACUGAGACACGGCCCAGACUCCUACGGGAGGCAGCAGUAGGGAAUUUUCGGCAAUGGGGGAAACCCUGACCGAGCAAUGCCGCGUGCACGAUGAAGAUCUUCGGAUUGUAAAGUGCUGUUGUUAGGGAAGAAAAAACAGAAGAGGAAAUGCUUUUGUCUUGACGGUACCUAACGAGGAAGCCCCGGCUAACUAUGUGCCAGCAGCCGCGGUAAUACAUAGGGGGCAAGCGUUAUCCGGAAUUAUUGGGCGUAAAGCGUGAGUAGGCGGUUUAUUAAGUCUAGUGUAAAAUCUUAAAGCUUAACUUUAAAUGGUCAUUGGAAACUGGUAAACUUGAGUACAGUAGAGGAAAGUGGAAUUCCAAGUGGAGCGGUGGAAUGCGUAGAGAUUUGGAGGAACACCAGUGGCGAAGGCGGCUUUCUGGGCUGGUACUGACGCUGAGGCACGAAAGCGUGGGGAGCAAACAGGAUUAGAUACCCUGGUAGUCCACGCUGUAAACGAUGAGUAUUAAACGGUGGCGAAGUCACUGUUGUAGCUAACGCAAUAAAUACUCCGCCUGGGGAGUACGGUCGCAAGACUAAAACUCAAAGGAAUUGACGGGGACUCGCACAAGCGGUGGAGCAUGUUGUUUAAUUCGAGGAUACGCGAAAAACCUUACCAGGUCUUGACAUAUUGGUGAAAUAGUUAGAGAUAACUAUGCUUUUUAGCACCUUUACAGGUGGUGCAUGGUUGUCGUCAGCUCGUGUCGUGAGAUGUUGGGUUAAGUCCCAGAACGAGCGCAGCCCUUAUCAUUAGUUGCUCUUAUUAAGUUAAGCACUCUAAUGAGACUGCCGGCGACAAGUCGGAUGAAGGUGGGGAUGACGUCAAAUCAUCAUGCCCCUUAUGACCUGGGCUACAAACGUGCUACAAUGGCUGGUACAAAGAGUCUGCAAAACCGCGAGGUGAAGCUAAUCUCAGAAAGCCAGUCUCAGCUCGGAUCGCAGUCUGCAACUCGACUGCGUGAAGUCGGAAUCGCUAGUAAUCGCAAAUCAGCAUGUUGCGGUGAAUACGUUCUCGAGUCUUGUACACACCGCCCGUCACACCAUGAGAGUUUGUAAUACCCAAAACCGGUGGCCUAACCUUUUGGAGGGAGCCGUCUAAGGUAGGACAAAUGAUUGGGGUGAAGUCGUAACAAGGUAUCCCUACGAGAACGUGCGGCUGGAACACCU
rnacentral:rRNA from 1 species